rnacentral:lncRNA from 1 species
CUUGAUGAAACAAGGGGCGUGUUGGAGAGGCCUAUGUGGCAAGAAACUGAGGGUAGCUUCUUGCCAACAGCCAGCAAGGAAUGGAAGCUCUCAGUGCAACAGCGCUUAUGAAACUGAAUCCUCUUAACGACCACGUCGGUGAGCUCGGAAGUGGAUUUUUCUCCAUCUGAGUCUUCAGAUUACAUCAGAAAAAUCCCAACUGGAGGCCAUUCUAUAAAAUGCAUGAGCUGCCUUAAUGUCAAGGUCAUCAAAAAAAAGCCAGAAAGACUUCUAUCAAAAUGCUAAAUAGAAGCCAUGACCACAGAUGUCCUGUCAAAUUGUUUAUCUUUGGACAAGAGUUUGUCAUAUUUCACUACUAAAUAUUAUAAUUGCUCUAAACUUUAAAUUAAUUUUCACUGGUUAACAAAUUUUCAUUUUAUUUCCAGUUUGCUAAAAAAUUUUAGUAUGAAUGACUGUUGAAUUUUUAUCAAUUUCUUUUUGUAUCAAUCAACAUGAACGUAUGAUUCAUCUUGUAUAUUCUACUAAUGUGGUGACUUACAAUGAUAUAUUUCCAAAUAAUAAAC